CAGCCGCCGCGGUAAUACGGAGGGGGCUAGCGUUGUUCGGAAUUACUGGGCGUAAAGCGCACGUAGGCGGCUUGGUAAGUUAGAGGUGAAAGCCUGGAGCUCAACUCCAGAAUUGCCUUUAAGACUGCCGAGCUAGCAGGUGAGAGAGGUAAGUGGAAUUCCGAGUGUAGAGGUGAAAUUCGUAGAUAUUCGGAAGAACACCAGUGGCGAAGGCGGCUUACUGGCUCAUACUGGACGCUGAGGUGCGAAAGCGUGGGGAGCAAACAGGAUUAGAUACCCGCGUAGUCCCUGUCUCUUAUAC
rnacentral:rRNA from 1 species